rnacentral:rRNA from 1 species
UCCUACGGGAGGCAGCAGUGAGGGAUAUUGCACAAUGGGCGAAAGCCUGAUGCAGCGACGCCGCGUGGGUGAAGAAGGUUUUCGGAUCGUAAAGCCCUUUUCUUGGUGACGAGAACGGACGGUAGCCAAGGAAUAAGUGUCGGCUAACUACGUGCCAGCAGCCGCGGUAAUAAACGUAGGACGCAAGCGUUAUCCGGAAUUACUGGGCGUA